rnacentral:rRNA from 1 species
GAUCAUGGCUCAGGAUGAACGCUGGCGGCGUGCCUAAUACAUGCAAGUAGAACGCUGAAGCUUGGUGCUUGCACCGAGCGGAAGAGUUGCGAACGGGUGAGUAACGCGUAGGUAACCUGCCUCUUAGCGGGGGGAUAACUAUUGGAAACGAUAGCUAAUACCGCAUAAAAGUCGGCAUUGCAUGAUGUUGACUUGAAAGGUGCAACUGCAUCACUAAGAGAUGG